CGAAUGAAUGAGAAUUUUUUCAAUCUGACAAGUGGGGCUGAAAGCCUUGGCAUGUAGUGUAAAACUGCAUCACCAAUGGGGGUUUGAAUGAAUGCUUCUUGGAACAGAGCAGCAAUAAGGGUGAUACUCCUGUUUGCCAUUGAUAAAUCCUUGUGUACUGCAUGCAUGUGCUGACUCACACUUUUUGGGAAUGAAGUGCAAAUUGGGUGGUAAGUUUCAUUCAAAGAUGCAUAUAAGCUUGAGACUGAUAGUGCACAAGUACCUUGAGGGAAAAAUGAAAAGGACUUUGAAAAGAAAGUUAAAAGAGCCUUAACCUGCUGAGUGGAAAGCAAGCAGACACACUAAAUGUGUGAAAGAUUGCUGUUGUGGUGUACAUCUACUGCAUCAGUUGGUGUGGUGCAAACACAAUGGUGCAUCUUCUUACGUCGCCAUUGCUAAUUCAAUAAUGCGCAUUGAUUGGGAGUUAACACUAUUGCUUGCUGGCAAAGUGU
rnacentral:rRNA from 1 species